CUUCCGCAAAACUCCUGGGACGACAACAGCAACGGCCAACAACUGGACCUCCUCGCCACCGCCCCCCAACUCACCCCCGACGACGCUCGCUCCCUCCUCUCCUCCUUCACCCACUACCAGCUCCUCUCCAUCGUCCAAUCUGCCGCCCUCUGCUACCCCGACGUCCUCUCCGCCUUUCGCACGAACGGGCAUCCGAGACCAAAUCGCGUAUCUUCUCUGCUCUCUCUCUCUGUUUUUGCUUUGUUAGACUCAUUCGAGAUUCUGUUCUCUUCUCAUUCUCUUCAGAUCGAAUCGAAGAACUCAACGAUGUUCAGAUUGAAUUGAAGAAUUCAACGAUCUGUGUCUCGACUCGAGAUUCUGAUGAUUGUUGAUUUUGCCGAUUUCUCUUCCAUUCAGCGAUGUUUGGCUUCCAAAUAAAUCAAUUUUUAGGGCUUAUUUCUUGCUAGGUAAACAAUGUCGAUCUACUGAUUUCCGCUUCUGCUCCUCCGCUCUGAAAUCGCAAUUGACAAUGAUGAAGAAAGUGAAGAGAGCGAUUUCUACUAAUUUUGGUUCUAGCUCGCCGAUUCUGAAAUCUCACUUAAAGCUUGUGAUAAGUUUUCUUGUUAGAAACUGCACUUGAAGGUUGUAUUUUCUUAAUCUUUUGGGAUAUGAAAUUAUGACAGAUCAGUAGUUUAAAGGAAUGAUGAUGUUGAUUUUGUUUUACCAAAUGCAGAAAUACAGAUGUUGGAUUCUUCUCUUCAACUAAGAAACUAAUGCUCUGGUGAGUUCUCAAAUAAACUUUGUGCAGCUUCCUCUUUUGAUUAUUAGGACAAAGAAACCCCAAACUUGAGAUAUUUCUUAAUUUCCUGUGAAACUUUGAUGGUCCUGAAUGUUUGGAUGCAUUAAUCAAUAGGUUACUUGACUUUACUAUAUAUUCUGUUGAUUGCGUGGUUAAUCCUGAUUACAUGAAUAACCAAGAGUUUUUAACUAGAAGAAAUGGAUUAGUGUUGCCUUUAUUUGAUGAGCAUAAGUUCUACUUCAAUCCAAUGCACACAAAGGCAAAUAAGAGGCCCCACAUGGAUGUAUGGUAAUUAGAACCUUGAUGGUGGCAUUUCACAUUUGGGUGUACCUCCUUUUGUCCAUGAAUGUGUAUCCGCACUUAUAUAUUUUCAAGUCUUUGGCUACAUUCUGUUUCGUGUGCCUCCUUUUGUCCAUGAAUAUC